rnacentral:rRNA from 1 species
AGAGUUUGAUCCUGGCUCAGGACGAACGCUGGCGGCGUGCUUAACACAUGCAAGUCGAACGGAAAGGCCCUUCGGGGUGCUCGAGUGGCGAACGGGUGAGUAACACGUGGGUGAUCUGCCCUGCACUUUGGGAUAAGCCUGGGAAACUGGGUCUAAUACCGAAUAGGACUGCGCUCUUCAUGGGGUGUGGUGGAAAGCUUUUGCGGUGUGGGAUGGGCCCGCGGCCUAUCAGCUUGUUGGUGGGGUGAUGGCCUACCAAGGCGACGACGGGUAGCCGGCCUGAGAGGGUGUCCGGCCACACUGGGACUGAGAUACGGCCCAGACUCCUACGGGAGGCAGCAGUGGGGAAUAUUGCACAAUGGGCGAAAGCCUGAUGCAGCGACGCCGCGUGGGGGAUGACGGCCUUCGGGUUGUAAACCUCUUUCACCAUCGACGAAGGUCCGGGUUUUCUCGGGCUGACGGUAGGUGGAGAAGAAGCACCGGCCAACUACGUGCCAGCAGCCGCGGUAAUACGUAGGGUGCGAGCGUUGUCCGGAAUUACUGGGCGUAAAGAGCUCGUAGGUGGUUUGUCGCGUUGUUCGUGAAAUCUCACGGCUUAACUGUGAGCGUGCGGGCGAUACGGGCAGACUUGAGUACUGCAGGGGAGACUGGAAUUCCUGGUGUAGCGGUGGAAUGCGCAGAUAUCAGGAGGAACACCGGUGGCGAAGGCGGGUCUCUGGGCAGUAACUGACGCUGAGGAGCGAAAGCGUGGGGAGCGAACAGGAUUAGAUACCCUGGUAGUCC